rnacentral:rRNA from 1 species
CCUAGCGGCAGACGGGUGAGUAACAUGUGGGAAUCUGCCUUUUGGCCUGGAAUAACACGGGGAAACCUGUGCUAAUACCGGAUAAGUCCUAACGGAGAAAGUUUUAAUGCCAAAAGAUGAGCCCGCAUUUGAUUAGCUAGUUGGUAAGGUAAAAGCUUACCAAGGCGACAAUCAAUAGCUGAUUUGAGAGGAUGAUCAGCCACACUGGGACUGAGAUACGGCCCAGACUCC